GCUCGCCCUUGUGGCGCUUUGUUACCGGAUUGCGGGCCACGUUAAACAUUCCGCUAAAGAGGUCAGGGAUGCGUUGCA
rnacentral:ncRNA from 2 species